CCAGCCACAAACGCCGCAAACACGAAUACUAUUCGAGAAAAUAUCUCUUGUCAUCCACACCUUUUUGUUGGCUGUGUUGCCAACAAAAAGGGUCUUGAUCGUCUUAAAACAGCUAGGCAUAGUUUGUAUGCUGACUACAAGUAAGCAGCAGGGUUGCCAUAUUUGGCUACUUUUUUACUGUUAUGACGCCGAUAUUUAGGCAAUGGCGACAUGGCUGGCUACUUUUGUGGGUACUUCUCUGCACUACGUUUGAGACUCAGGUGCACCAAAAUCAGGAUAUUUUUCAUAGUGUACCGCAGAGGUACGCACAGUGUGUUUAUUCCUGUAAUCCUGUUUCCCUUGAUGAUCAGCAGUCUCUCAGUCAGUACCAUGUCCUUUGAAGUGCUUUGUACGUGUGCUAUGGAUUAGCGCCAUUAAAGAGUCCAGCAUUCAAUAUAUGAUGCCCGUGUACACCACAGGAUUCGCUACAUAAAAGGGAAACUGGCUAUUCUUGGCUGCUUUCCCAUGGCACACUGGUGAAGAUGACUAAUUUAGUUGAUUGAGUAGAUGAGUAGAUCAGUAAUUUAGAUGAUGAAAUUAGGGGAUUUCAGGCAAACGAGAAAUAGCAGAAUGAGACUAUUGUCGUGGAAAGCCAUUCCAUGUCUGACAUAUCAUCAAUCACGCACGCACGUUAAAAUAUCCAUCCCUGUAUUUUGAUAUGCAAAUGAGUCGAAACCAAAACCUCAGUGAUCGGGAACACAGCGAACACAGCGCUCAUUUCACAUCAUAGGGGCACGUGACCUGGAGCGAUGGAGAAGAUUGGAGUAGGUGGCGAACUGCUGGCGUGAUAAACAGCUUUCUGGCCUAGAUAAGCCACCACUGGCAUAGAUCAUGCAUUCUUGAUGAUGCGCAGUUUUCCAGUUCUUGGCUCAUUUGCAUAGCGAAAUUCAGGGAUGGAUAUAUCGCUGUAGGGUUCGCAGGGUUCACUGUAUAUAAAUAGGGUUCUUAGUUUUCAGAUUUUAUGAUUUUUCAAAUUCGGAAGAUAUUCGGGUAGUAUCGGGUUUAACCCGACUUCUUGAAAAUUUGUUUGGGAGGGAAAUAUUGCGAAAAACCUGGUUUAACCCAAUAAUGAAGAACCCUAUUUAUACAGUCAUGUCUCAAUUAUCCGGACACCUCGGUAGUUGUUCCUUUUCGUCCAGAUCACGAAUUUCUGGAUAACCGAACAAAGCAGACUUCCGAGGAAAACUCGAAAAAUUUGGAAGACCUCUUUACAGCUCCAGAAAAGGAUACAAGGAAAAGAUUGUUACUUCAAAAAUUCAUGCGAAGUGAGCUGCUUAAAAUUAGUAGGCAUGCGUGUGACAGAGUUCUGGUCACAGCCAUGGCACCCACUGUGUCACCCAGAUGAGCCAUGGGCCAAAAGGCAGGCGAUCCUUUCUGACGGCCUGGACAUUGAAGUUCCCGCGUUGAUUUCACAUGCACCUGGCGGAUACAAGGCUCUUCCACUUAUUGUCUACUAUCUCUACUGUGUGCCUGCACACACGAAAAGGGAGUGACCUCUGAAGAAAUGGCAUUCAAACAGUACAGGAUGCCCCGUUCUAAAUAAGAGUCUACUGGUACCAAGAAGAUUACGCCAUGGUGGCUGACAAACAUAGCACUGACGAAUGGCUGCCUUAUCUUUGUCGAUUGACAGCCACCAGACAAAAGAGACGCCCAGCUGGCUUCGUUCCUUGCUUUCUUGGGUGCUGUUCAUGAAGCAACGUCAAGUCAUGCCAGGCACAACAUGGAAAAUGACAGUCCCCAGGUUGUAUGCCGAAGAGUCCAAUUGGUACCCGAACAUUGCAGUAAGUUGGAACCCGACUAUCAACGAGACACUGCUUGGCUUCUGCAACUGCCUUUGAACAUCAUUCCGUCUGUGCCCAGUGCCUGCCUCUCUUGGGCAAGCCAUACAUCUGUGCGACCACUGUAGCAAAGUCCCUGAUGUGCUUUCCACAAAAGUUAAGCAGACUUAGGAAGUGUUGUGGUUCUGUAGCAUUGCACGGCUGCGUAACGUGCACAAUGGCUGUUCUGUAUCAGUAGGGAAGAAUGCCUCUGUUGUCACCUUUACGUUCCCGUUCUUUCAGCGUGAUGUUGUACUGUGUCAGUUAAUACAAGAUCCCUUCCACUGUUCUUUGACACUUGACCAUAUUUUUGUCAGUGUCAAUCACAUCACCAGUACUGCAUCCAAGUUCAGUAAUUCGUUUUAAAAUUGUGUCUCUGAGUGGCUGAAAAACAGCACGAGUGCUGGAAAUGACAAAUGGGAGCCUCUAAAAUUGGAGCAGUCACAGACGUGCGUUCACCGACAACACCAGUUUGCUUCUUUCAUCAAGCAGAACGUGCUGGUACUCUUGAGAUGUCUGGAACACAGAGAUAUACUUUUCACCAGCCAUAAUUGACUACCAGUCUUUAGUACUGGUAAAGGAUAGUGAUUGGCCUCCAGAACAGGAUGAG